GCGCUGCAUUAGCUAGUUGGUAAGGUAACGGCUUACCAAGGCAACGAUGCAUAGCCGACCUGAGAGGGUGAUCGGCCACACUGGAACUGAGACACGGUCCAGACUCCUACGGGAGGCAGCAGUAGGGAAUCUUCCGCAAUGGGCGAAAGCCUGACGGAGCAACGCCGCGUGAGUGAUGAAGGUCUUCGGAUCGUAAAACUCUGUUAUUAGGGAAGAACAUAUGUGUAAGUAACUGUGCACAUCUUGACGGUACCUAAUCAGAAAGCCACGGCUAACUACGUGCCAGCAGCCGCGGUAAUACGUAGGUGGCAAGCGUUAUCCGGAAUUAUUGGGCGUAAAGCGCGCGUAGGCGGUUUUUUAAGUCUGAUGUGAAAGCCCACGGCUCAACCGUGGAGGGUCAUUGGAAACUGGAAAACUUGAGUGCAGAAGAGGAAAGUGGAAUUCCAUGUGUAGCGGUGAAAUGCGCAGAGAUAUGGAGGAACACCAGUGGCGAAGGCGACUUUCUGGUCUGUAACUGACGCUGAUGUGCGAAAGCGUGGGGAUCAAACAGGAUUAGAUACCCUGGUAGUCCACGCCGUAAACGAUGAGUGCUAAGUGUUAGGGGGUUUCCGCCCCUUAGUGCUGCAGCUAACG
rnacentral:rRNA from 1 species